rnacentral:rRNA from 1 species
CAAACGACUCUCGGCAACGGAUAUCCCGGCUCUCGCAUCGAUGAAGAACGUARCGAAAUGCGAUACUUGGUGUGAAUUGCARAAUCCCGUGAACCAUCSAGUUUUUGAACGCAAGUUGCGCCCGAUGCCAUUARGCUGARGGCACGUCUGCCUGGGUGUCACUU